rnacentral:rRNA from 1 species
CACGAACGCUGGCGGCAGGCUUAACACAUGCAAGUCGAGCGCCCCGCAAGGGGAGCGGCAGACGGGUGAGUAACGCGUGGGAAUCUACCCAUCUCUACGGAAUAACGCAUGGAAACGUGUGCUAAUAUCGUAUACGUUCUUCGGGAGAAAGAUUUAUCGGAGAUGGAUGAGCCCGCGUUGGAUUAGCUAGUUGGUGGGGUAAAGGCCUACCAAGGCGACGAUCCAUAGCUGGUCUGAGAGGAUGAUCAGCCACACUGGGACUGAGACACGGCCCAGACUCCUACGGGAGGCAGCAGUGGGGAAUAUUGGACAAUGGGCGCAAGCCUGAUCCAGCCAUGCCGCGUGAGUGAUGAAGGCCCUAGGGUUGUAAAGCUCUUUCACCGGUGAAGAUAAUGACGGUAACCGGAGAAGAAGCCCCGGCUAACUUCGUGCCAGCAGCCGCCGUAACAC